AUCCCAUCUUAUAAAGAAUGGCCAACCUGUGGAUCUCCAGCUGUUGCAAAACUACAACUCCCACCAUGCCCUGCUUAAGGCUGAUAGCUGAAGGCAAGUCUGGGCAUGCUGGGAGUUAUAGUUUUGCAACAGCUGGAGAACCUCAGGUUGGCCAUCCCUGGUAUAUUACCUUCUCUUUUUCAUUCCCACCUUGUAGCAACUCGCCCUUGAGAGGAACAUUUCUCAAGAUCAAACACAUGUGCAGCCAACUUCUCGGUUCCUCAACCUCCCCUGUGUUCAUUUCCAUAUUAGGACUUAAGCCUCAUUCACAUAUCAGUGUCUGUGAUGAAAUCUGUGAUAGGGUGGUCAGUGAUACAUCCGUGAAGGAUUCGUGUUUAGUCCGUUUUUUGUGUCAUCCCUGUUUCACUGACACUGCAAAGCUGAAAAUUUAUUUCCAUAGCAUCCCCUCCUAAUGGUCUGUGAAACACGGAUGGCAUCCGUGUUGCGUCUGUGUUUUUCAUAGACCAUAAAGAAUGUGAUGGAUCUGUGAGCAUGGGCAAAAUAGAGCAUGCUUCCAUACUAAAACCAGACCCACGGACCGUUCGAAAACACUGAUGUGUGAAUACACACAUUAAAAAGAAGGGGAAACAUGUGCUCUCUGUGAAGAACACGUACACUGACGUGUAAGUGAGGCUUCACUAAUCUCAGCCAUUAAUGGAUGCUCUCAGCAUUCAGUCUACUAAAUGUGCACAUAGACAUGAUGAGAGACAUUAUUUUCAUCAUUCUCAAUUAUUGACUGAUUUGUGCAGGUGUAGUAAAACAAUAACUUGGGUAAAAACUUUUUGAUUUUUGUACCAAGGAACAUAUCUCUAUAGAAAGCCAAUUUCAAUAAAUAUAAUAGUUUGUUUUUUUUCACAUUUUUUUUCAUGGUGAACUUAUUUUUGUUUGAGGGGGAAAAAACACAACAAAAAUGCCCCAGUCUAAACCUUGGGAAACUUGUUUCUUAGCCUACAUGGGGAUUACUUUACACAUAUAAUUAUCACUUUGCUUUUUGCUAUCUUUAUUGUACUCAAUGCAUGUAAACAUAAUACACUGAUAAUAUUAAUGUAGGUCAUGCCACCCAUAACAUUUUUAAUACUAUAAACAAGUAGAACAAAGAGUGGAAAAACGUAAUUGUGUGCAACGUUUCUCCUUUUAAUAAUCCACUAAAUACUCAGAACAUUGUAUGAGACACCAUGCCUGCUCCAUCUGAAUCAUAGCUGCCUUCAGUUCAGAUACAUAAAACCUUCCCCCUCAAACCCAUACACGGUACUUCCUUAUUGGGACAUGGCAAAAAAGUAAACACAGACAGGAUUAGGAAAAAUGGGUGUAACGCCAAGUGUCUGCUGGCAUGUGACACCUAGCAUGGUCUAGAAGUCAACAUGUGCAUGGAUAAGCACUGGGUGAAGAGUGCCAACAACACAGGAACGAGUCUUUGACAAAAAGAUCUCCUGUCCUAGGACUACAGUACAGAGAAUUAAACAUGACCUAUUUCAGUUCAGUUGAUUUAUAAAAUCAGCA